CCAUCUACCGAACGCGGGAAUCACCUGUAUUUAUAAAUGAUAAAUCGUAAAAUCACUGUAACAACGUAAUCAAAAAGAUUACCAACUGACCCAUAAUAUGUCGUCUACAAAUGAUUUAAAAGCAGUAUUACAAGAGACACUUACAAAGCGAGGUGUACUAGGACAGCUUAAGGCACAAAUGCGGGCAGAGAUAUUCCGGUCUCUGGAAGAUACAAGUCGGCCACCCCCACGAUUGACAGAUGAAAACCUGCUUAUAAAUGAACUGAUAAGAGAGUAUUUGCUCUUCAACAACUACCGAUAUACAGAAUCGGUGCUUGUGUCAGAGUCUGGACUUCCAGAGAUGCCACUAGACAGGGAGUUGUUGACAAAAACGUUGAAUGUGACUCAGUCAGGUGCUUCUAGUCGUGUGCCUCUGUUGUAUGGCAUUUUGUCAUACUUUUCGUGUCCGCCCACUGCAGAUCGUAACACAUUGAAUGUAAAGGAAAACCUGCAGACCAGCACUGACCAAGACAGCAUCUAAAAGUCUCUGAUAUGAGCACAUUUAGAGUAGAGAAUACUCUGUUGAAGAAUAUUUUAGUACAAAGUUUGUAAAAUAUGUAAAUUGUUUAGCAUGUGGCUCUAGUAAUUUUUCGUGGUUUUAUAUGUGAAAAGCACAGCGGAUUUCUAGAUGUGCAGACACUUCUUUACCAUACACCGUUUACCGUGAAACUAACUGUCAAUAAAUGGCUUUUAUUCAAUGAUAA
rnacentral:misc_RNA from 1 species